rnacentral:rRNA from 1 species
AGGUUAAGUUAGAAAGGGCGCACGGCGGAUGCCUUGGCACUAGGAGCCGAUGAAGGACGGCACUAACACCGAUAUGCUUCGGGGAGCUGUAAGUGAGCUUUG